AGACUCCGGGUGGCACUGCAGCUUCUGCUUCCGGCACAUCAGCGAGUUUAUUUUUAAAAUGAAUGCAUAUAGCCAUGUUGAUCGUGUCCGAUUUGCUUAUUUCUUAAAUCGUUUCAGAAUUCAGGAUGUCAUAUGCCAUGGAGCUGACCUUUUCGACAUGCUUCCUGAGGAACACACGUUCCAGAAAAUAAUUGCCAAGCUGGGGCCAAUUCCUAGUACAUACUCUGUUGUAAAUCUUCCAGGUUAUCUGAUUCAGAAUGCUGACCAGUACAGAUACCUCCUUCCGGGGAACUGCAAAAGAGAAAGAGGCUAAGCAAAUUAGUGGCUGUUGUAGACUGAUUGAGAUGUUACAGAAAAACAUCAUCUAUAGACUGAUUGUCAUCACCUGACAUGUAAGUUGAGUAUCUGACCUAG
rnacentral:lncRNA from 1 species